CUGCUAUGUACAAACAUCCCACUGUGUUAUUAGGGGUUACAACCGGCCAGAUGAUGAGCAGUGCCUUGUUUCCUCCAGAGGGAGAUGUUUGUGUCUUCUGUCUAGGAAGAAGCCUAAUCGGUUCCCCCAGUCUACUUGGUGCCAUGCCCUGCCUGGUCAGCUGACUCCAUGCAACCUAUAAGAAGACUCCUUCAUCACUUCCUGCCUUCAGCCUUGUGCUCACUUGCUUCACCCUUUUGCUCACUUGAAAGCCCUUUACCCCUUAACUGCUCAGCUGUGUAAAUGAAUCAAAAACGAAAACAAACUGGAAAAAUAAAGAAAACUGAAGAGCUGACUAAGAAGCAACAUGAAAAGAAAAAAAGACAGUG